rnacentral:rRNA from 1 species
AUUGAACGCUGGCGGCAGGCUUAACACAUGCAAGUCGAACGGGUGUAGCAAUACAUCAGUGGCAGACGGGUGAGUAACACGUGGGAACCUUCCUAGGGGUACGGAACAACUCAGGGAAACUUGAGCUAAUACCGUAUACGUCCGUGAGGAGAAAGAUUUAUCGCCCUUAGACGGGCCCGCGUCGGAUUAGCUAGUCGGUGGGGUAACGGCCUACCAAGGCGACGAUCCGUAGCUGAUCUUAGAGGAUGAUCAGCCACACUGGGACUGAGACACGGCCCAGACUCCUACGGGAGGCAGCAGUGGGGAAUCUUGGACAAUGGGCGCAAGCCUGAUCCAGCCAUGCCGCGUGAGUGAAGAAGGUCUUCGGAUUGUAAAGCUCUUCUGCCAGGGACGAUAAUGACGGUACCUGGAGAAUAAGCCCCGGCAAACUUCGUGCCAGCCGCCGCAGUAA